CAGGCCCUGGUGUGUGAUGAUGUUCCUCUCCCUGUGUCCAUGUGUCACUUCCAUCUUUAAUGGGUGACUGGGUGACAUCCUAAGGAAAGAGUAUAGAGGAAAAGAAAUAGAUUUUGAGGGUGCAAAUAAUUCUAUUUUGUCCACCCAAAAUGAUUUGGUGGCCCAGGGGAAGAUUACUAGUUGGAAAUGUAGAUUUAAGUGUUGGAGAGGGAAUGAAGUUUUUGGCUUUGGAUACAUUGACUUAUUUAUGUCUCAUCCGUAAAACUAAAUACUUAUAUUGUCUCACUAGAUUUUGUGGUUUAAGAACCAAAUGGAUAAUAUGUAGGUGUUUUGAAAAUCGGUAGGAAGAGAAGAAUUUAGAGGAAGACUAAGUGAGACUUACAUGACUUCUUUUAAAACUAUACAAAGUAGGAGUCAAAAUAAUGCAGAUGUUUCAAAUAUGAGAAACUCAUGGGAAUACAAGUGCUGUUAUAUUUCAGAUUGGAGCUCAUCUGUUCUCAGAAGCUAAGCAGGAUCAGGCCUGGUUAGUACUUGGAUAGGAGAAAGCUCCUGGAAAAGUUAGCAAGACAACUAACUAGAAAUCAGACUAAAAACUAAAUGGAAAUCAGAUAAAGCCACCUAAUGCAUAGAUACUUAUACAAAUAAUUUUUGUCUUAAUUUUUAAAGACUUAUAAAUGUUCCCAAUAUGAAGCUGUCGGCUUAGUUUUGUCCGUUUGAUUGGGCAACAUUUUUGUUCUGGCCCCAAGUCAAGGACAGAUCUUCGUGAUGAAACUCAUUAUACAAUCCUAUAAGGUCUAACCAUGUUUUUUGGAUUUCAGAGACAUUCCUAAAUAGGUAUCUGUAAUUCUGUCUACCUCUACGAAAAUCAUACGGUCAGACAAAAUCUGAAACUUCCCAGGAGGUAGUUUCCUACACCAAAGCUAUUCAGAAUUUGUCCUAAAUGGAUAAGUUGAUUUCGUAACUGCCUAAACAAUUUAAUUUACUAUAAAUUUUUCUUUUUAGGAUAAACAUUGAAUGUGGCCUGCCAGAUCCUUCUUAGGAAAAUCUGCAUUAGCCCAAAGUAGACUCUACCAUUGGACAAAAAUGUAUCAAGUUUGCUUUCCCCUGUAACAUUACAGAACUUUCCUGUAUCUCCUCUUUAUAAGGAAUGGAUGAAUUAAGAUAGAAUUAGGUUUGAAUGCAAGUACAGUCUCAAAUUAACAGUGGCUUAGUAGAUUACUGUUCUUUCACGUAGUUCAAGUCAUCUUUUCUAUAUGGCCCAGAAUUUUGAUGUGAUUAUUUAAGAGUGAGCACUUUCCUAAGAAAUACUAGUGGAAUUCUCAUGCUUCAUAUCAUCUUUAUAUAUAUAUAUAUGAAAAUAUCCUUUAGAUAUUUCUGAUCUUCUUUAUUCACUAUUUUUUGUUUUACACUGUAAACUCUUCAGCAUCUGGUAUAUGGUAAGCAUUCAGUAAAUAUUUACUGUAUUAGGCAGUCACUCCUUUGAAUAUUUUUUCCCUUGGUAAUGAAGACACUUUCCUGAAAAUAUUUGUUUGCCUCCUUGUAAUUUUAAAGGAAUAAUGACAGUAAAAAAUACAUAGAUAUGUGUACAGACAUAAAAUAUAUA
rnacentral:lncRNA from 10 species